UCUCUCUCUCUCAGACCCUCUCUCUCCCGGCCAAUCCCUCCCUCACCGGCCCUCAGCUCUCCUCCCUCGCCGGCGGCCGACCCUCCGCCCCUCCCUACCUCGCCGGCGGCCGGCCUUCCCUCCCUCGCGUCGCCUGGCCCUCCGCCCCUCCAUCCCUCGCCGGUCUUCCGCCCCUCCCUCCCUCACCGGCCCUACGCCCCUCCCUCCCUCACUGGUGGCCGGCCAAUGGGACCUGCAGGUGGGGGGGGGGGGGGGGCGGGGGCUGUGCCGCGAGUCCGAGCCGGGCAGCCGCCCCGCGACACGAGGCCGGGCCGAGCAGCCACGCCGCGACCUUCCUCCACCUUAGGGGCUCCGGCGCGAGGCGGCGGCAGCACCUCCUCCUCCUUGGGCUUCGCCGCGGCCGGGAGAUGCACCUGCAGGUGGGGGCAAGGGCCGCGCCGCGACGCAAGGUGGAGGCGCGGCGCGCGGCGGCCAUGGCGAGGCGACGUGGGUCCAUGGCACUCGCGGCUCCCGGCGGCCCUCCUCCCUCGCCGCGCAAGUACAUGGCGGCGGUCUGAUCCCGGCGGCCCUCCUCCCUCACCGCGCAUGGCCGGAGACCGUUGUCCAGUGCCUCCUCUUCCUCCUUGCUGCGGGCAUGCUCAUCGCGCUCCACUUCCUCUCCCGCGGCGCCGCCCUCCACUGGGAAGAGGCACAAGCCGGCGCGACUCCUACAGCUCCUCCCAGUGGCGACGCUCCUCUGCGCCCUUUAUCCUCCUCUUCGCCUCGGCUCCUCCCCUACUCCGGGCAGGCAGGCUUCGCGGCGGCGGCUUGUGUAGGAUUUGCGGCGGAGGAGCGGUGGCGCGACGAGCAGGACGCUUUAUUUGGCGGAAGCAACCUCGUUCGCUACCUUAGCGUCCCCAGUGCGACCAGCCUCAGCAUCUCAUGGACUGCGGCAGCAGUCAGCAACACUUUAAAAGACCCAACAUAAAUACGUAACGUACUGAGGUGCAAGCUCCUUCAUGAUGGCAUAUUUCUUCCUUGGUGUCUGCUCUGUAUGUGUUGUGGCAGGAUGCACAACUUGGAGAAGAAUAGGGUCAUUGGAUCCAGUUACAGAUCUUGUGUGAAAGCAAGAAAUGUCUAUCAGUGAGGUGAAAAUGACAAAGUAUUGAUAGGUGAGAACAACUUAAGACCACACCUGCUAGCAGUACUUCUUGAAGUAGUGGUUGUUUGACACCUGAUGAUGAAGAAGAUGAUUUUUUCUUCCUUUUUUAUGUGUCGCAUUGGCCACUGCCUCAUUGUGUGGGAAGACCAUACGAUGUAGAAGUGGCAGCUAUAAUACUAGUCUCGUGUUACAAGUAGCUGCUUUCUUGACCCUUUUCUUUGGUGGACCCUUGAAUUAAAAUUUUAUUUGAUAUACAUGUCUAAAGGCAAAAUCAUAUGGCAACUAAUUAAAGAAAGUGAACUAAUAUGUAUGAAGUUUACCUCACAGCCUCCACUGCAGCUAUAUCUUCUGGAUUCCCAUUCUUACAGGUGUACCAGUGAUGCCCUAACUGAUGGCAUAUUAGGCACUCAAGUUUCUUCCUGCCAGUACCUUCCUCAGUACCAGAUUUUUUCCUGCUACUAUAUCCCUCCAAAGCUGAUUUCAUCAUGUUCUUUCUCCUUCCUGCAGUUGACUUAAGCAAUAGAGGAUGCAUAAAGAAGCCAUGUGUGGCUUUGGGCCACAUGGACUUGUCAGGAAUACUAGGGAUAUAACCUUCAUAUGCAACUUUAAAUUUCUCAAUUGAGUAGUACUCAUCCACAUAGUCUUCUAGGGAAGCACCAGGAAUUGAUGUGAUGUAGGUAAUAACAUGUUUGCAGGGUAUUCCUGACCCUUGCCAAGCCCUGUUGGUGCAUGUCCUGUCAAUUAAGUUGACUACAAACCUGUAGGUAGUAGCACAACACUCCUUAGCACAAAUUUCUGCAAUACCGUCAGGUAAGCUUGUGAUAACUUCAAUAUCAGGGUUGUAGCUGUUGUCCCUAUUGACGAUCUAUUUCGAAUCAUUUUGACCAUCAACUAUCGCGCAGUAAUAAGAACAUAAAAAAGGAUAAAUGUUAGGAUAAGAUGAAUUAUUGACAAAUUCCACAGAUGUUGGUCUGGAAAUGUGUGCAGGUGAAAUUGGGCUAGAAGUGUAGGAAACUAGCAAGAAUGAUCCAAGGUAUAGCUCAACCAAGCACAAGGAUCAAAAGGGGCCACUUGACUGCCACACAUGAGAAAAACACAACCAUAAGCAAGGUGACACAUCAUCAAUUCAUGGGAAUAUCUUCUUGACCAAUCAGGCGCAAUUACAAGGAUCCACGGGCCCACCAGAGCACCCAAUCCAACAUAAGGACAGCUGGGGCAUGCACAACCGACAUUGGGAUCCACCUACAAGUUUCCCAGAGAAAAACGGAGGCGAUCAGGGCCACGUGGUAGUCGGCCGAGCACUAUGCUCGUCCGACCAUGCCGUGGCGCUAACGACCAUCUCCUUUGGUGUGCAACUUCCUGGGUUAAACACUUAAGGCGGUUCCAAGUGCCAUCCCUUCAGAAAUUCGUCUGAGGAGCCCCUUUCCUCCCUCUAUAAAUAUGAGGAGAGGGGGUAAGAAUAGGAGCAUCUCACACUUUCACUUUAUUCUCUCUUUUAGAGUUUAGAGUCCUCUUGUAAGAGUUAGGGGUAGAGGUACUCAGGAGGGCGCCGGUUGUCGGUGCUCUUCUCCAUUUAGUAGAUCUAUGAGAGUGAGGGGGAGUCGGGGAGGUGUCAGGAUUGUCGGCUCCCUGCACUCUUCUCUAGCUUGUACCUCGACGGAUGCUUAUCAAUCAUAGUAAGUGUCCGUGAUCUUCUUUGUGCUUUA